GGAGUAGUACUCAAGUGGCUGAAGAGGUGCCCCUGCUAAGGGUAUAGGCCGUUAAUAGCGGUGCGAGAGUUCAAAUCUCUCCUACUCCGCCA
rnacentral:tRNA from 1 species